rnacentral:pre_miRNA from 1 species
GUGUAUCCUCAGCUUUGAGAACUGAAUUCCAUGGGUUGUAAUUGAAUCCUCUGUCAGACCCAUGGGGCUCAGUUCUUCAGCUUGGAUAUUUCUG